CAGAAGACAACCGCAUUGCUGAACGGCAUGGAGAGUUUAAUGCAAUGGUCCAAAAAAGAGCCCAUCAACCAAAAGAAGAACUUUGGGUUACCAAUGGCGGCAGUUGUGGACUAUGCAAGCAAAUGCGUCAAGUGCAAUCAAAUGAUCCCAAACUGGACACUUUAUCUGAAGGGAUCAGAGCUGAUCGGUGAUGCGUUCAGAUGCACGUUCAUUAUCUAUGGUGUACGAUGAUCGCGCAGAUUUCAUACCCUUUGAAAAUGCAAAAGGAAUGUGAUGCUUUAUCUCUAUCUUCACGACAAAUAUAAUGUUGUUC
rnacentral:lncRNA from 1 species